rnacentral:rRNA from 1 species
AGAGUUUGAUCAUGGCUCAGGACGAACGCUGGCGGCGUGCCUAACACAUGCAAGUCGAACGGACUGACACCUAACACCGAGUGCUUUUGGAUAAUGUGGCUCAUAAAAGCCAGCGAGUGGGCGAACGUAGAGAGCGCACCUGGCUUUUAUAAAGAGCCAAGACAACAGUAAGCAGGAAGACCAGAAAGAGCACUGGGUGUUAGGUGGAAGUUAGUGGCGGACGGGUGAGUAACGCGUGGAUAACCUACCUAGUAGACCGGGACAACCCUUGGAAACGAGGGCUAAUACCGGAUAAGCUUACCCCUUGGCAUCAAGGAGUAAGGAAAGAUGGCCUCUGAAGAUGCUAUCGUUAGUAGAUGGAUCCGCGUCUGAUUAGCUGGUUGGUGGGGUAAAGGCCUACCAAGGCGACGAUCAGUAGCCGGCCUGAGAGGGUGAACGGCCACACUGGGACUGAGACACGGCCCAGACUCCUACGGGAGGCAGCAGUGGGGAAUCUUCCGCAAUGGACGAAAGUCUGACGGAGCAACGCCGCGUGUACGACGAAGGCCUUCGGGUUGUAAAGUACUGUCUUCAGGGACGAACGGUAUUUAUGUAAAUAAUGUAGAUACAUGAC